AUUAGUUAUAAUAUUAAAGAAAUGAAAAUCAUGGUUGGCCUUUGCUUGGUGAUUAAUAGUUGCUGUAAUUUUGGCAUUUGAGUGUUUGAAGCCUCAUAUUUUCGGUGCUAGCUUGGCAAUGGGCAGUUUACAUGAAGGGUUGCUCUCAGGCUUCAAACUUGCAAAUCUCUUGGCUGAAGACCCAGCACAUGUACUAGAUAGUGGUCUCGCCAAGUGGGUGGAAAAGAGCUUUAAAAUGUUAGAAG
rnacentral:misc_RNA from 1 species